AUUGAACGCUGGCGGCAGGCUUAACACAUGCAAGUCGAGCGAGCGGCGGACGGGUGAGUAAUGUCUGGGAAACUGCCUGAUGGAGGGGGAUAACUACUGGAAACGGUAGCUAAUACCGCAUACCAUCAGAUGUGCCCAGAUGGGAUGAGCUAGUAGGUGGGGUAAUGGCUCACCUAGGCGACAAUCCCUAGCUGGUCUGAGAGGAUGCCCAGCCACCUUGGAACUGAUAAACUGUCCAGUUUCCUACGGGAUGCAGCAGUGGCGACGAUGGCAUAAGCGGCGCAAGUCUUCGGCAGCCUCGCCGCGUGUGUGAAGAAGGCCUUUGGGUUUUAACGCACGUUCAACGAGAGAGCGGUAUCCGCAGAAGAAUCACCGGCUAACCCCGUGUCAGCAGCCGCGGUAAUAC
rnacentral:rRNA from 1 species